GUGCUUGCCUCAGCAGCACAUACACUAAAAUUGGAAUGAUACAGAGAUUAGCAUGGCUCCUGCUCAAGGAUGACACGCAAAUUCAUCAAGUGUUCCGUACUUAA